rnacentral:rRNA from 1 species
AUGCAGCAGCGCUCGGUGUGCUACUUGCGCGACAUGGCCGGCAGCAGGAAGGCGCUGGCGCUGACGGUCCUCCUCGUCGUCGCCCUCGCGGCGACGGCGCAGGCGGUGUGCGACAUGGACAACGACGACUUCAUGGCGUGCCAGCCGGCGGCGGCGGCGACGACGGACCCGCAGCCGGCGCCGUCGGAGGCGUGCUGCGCGACGCUGGGGAAGGCGGACCUGCGCUGCCUCUGCUCCUACAAGAACUCGCCCUGGCUCAGCCUCUACAACAUCGACCCCAAGCGCGCCAUGGAGCUGCCGGCCAAGUGCGGCCUCACCACGCCGCCCGACUGCUAG